GAUGAACGCUGGCGGCGUGCCUAAUACAUGCAAGUCGAGCGAACGGACGAGAAGCUUGCUUCUCUGAUGUUAGCGGCGGACGGGUGAGUAACACGUGGAUAACCUACCUAUAAGACUUGGAUAACUUCGGGAAACCGGAGCUACUACCGGAUAAUAUUUUGAACCGCAUGGUUCAAAAGUGAAAGACGGUUUUGCUGUCACUUAUAGAUGGAUCCGCGCUGCAUUAGCUAGUUGGUAAGGUAACGGCUUACCAAGGCAACGAUGCAUAGCCGACCUGAGAGGGUGAUCGGCCACACUGGAACUGAGACACGGUCCAGACUCCUACGGGAGGCAGCAGUAGGGAAUCUUCCGCAAAGGGCGAAAGCCUGACGGAGCAACGCCGCGUGAGUGAUGAAGGUCUUCGGAUCGUAAAACUCUGUUAUUAGGGAAGAAAAUAUGUAUAAGUAACUGUGCACAUCUUGACGGUACCUAAUCAGAAAGCCACGGCUAACUACGUG
rnacentral:rRNA from 1 species